rnacentral:rRNA from 1 species
UACGAAGGGUGCUAGCGUUGUUCGGAAUUACUGGGCGUAAAGCGCACGUAGGCGGAUCGUUAAGUCGGGGGUGAAAUCCUGGAGCUCAACUCCAGAACUGCCUUCGAUACUGGCGAUCUAGAGUCCGGAAGAGGUGAGUGGAACUCCUAGUGUAGAGGUGGAAUUCGUAGAUAUUAGGAAGAACACCAGUGGCGAAGGCGGCUCACUGGUCCGGUACUGACGCUGAGGUGCGAAAGCGUGGGGAGCAAACAGG